rnacentral:tRNA from 1 species
UAGGAUAAACUAAAAAAGUUUGUGGACUUACAAUUCACUCAUAGGACUCCCUUCCUUCAAGAU